GGAAAGGCGCGCGAUACAGGGUGACAGCCCCGUACACAAAAAUGCACAUGCUGUGAGCUCGAUGAGUAGGGCGGGACACGUGGUAUCCUGUCUGAAUAUGGGGGGACCAUCCUCCAAGGCUAAAUACUCCUGACUGACCGAUAGUGAACCAGUACCGUGAGGGAAAGGCGAAAAGAACCCCGGCGAGGGGAGUGAAAAAGAACCUGAAACCGUGUACGUACAAGCAGUGGGAGCACGCUUAGGCGUGUGACUGCGUACCUUUUGUAUAAUGGGUCAGCGACUUAUAUUCUGUAGCAAGGUUAACCGAAUAGGGGAGCCGAAGGGAAACCGAGUCUUAACUGGGCGUUAAGUUGCAGGGUAUAGACCCGAAACCCGGUGAUCUAGCCAUGGGCAGGUUGAAGGUUGGGUAACACUAACUGGAGGACCGAACCGACUAAUGUUGAAAAAUUAGCGGAUGACUUGUGGCUGGGGGUGAAAGGCCAAUCAAACCGGGAGAUAGCUGGUUCUCCCCGAAAGCUAUUUAGGUAGCGCCUCGUGAAUUCAUCUCCGGGGGUAGAGCACUGUUUCGGCAAGGGGGUCAUCCCGACUUACCAACCCGAUGCAAACUGCGAAUACCGGAGAAUGUUAUCACGGGAGACACACGGCGGGUGCUAACGUCCGUCGUGAAGAGGGAAACAACCCAGACCGCCAGCUAAGGUCCCAAAGUCAUGGUUAAGUGGGAAACGAUGUGGGAAGGCCCAGACAGCCAGGAUGUUGGCUUAGAAGCAGCCAUCAUUUAAAGAAAGCGUAAUAGCUCACUGGUCGAGUCGGCCUGCGCGGAAGAUGUAACGGGGCUAAACCAUGCACCGAAGCUGCGGCAGCGACGCUGAUGCGUUGUUGGGUAGGGGAGCGUUCUGUAAGCCUGCGAAGGUGUGCUGUGAGGCAUGCUGGAGGUAUCAGAAGUGCGAAUGCUGACAUAAGUAACGAUAAAGCGGGUGAAAAGCCCGCUCGCCGGAAGACCAAGGGUUCCUGUCCAACGUUAAUCGGGGCAGGGUGAGUCGACCCCUAAGGCGAGGCCGAAAGGCGUAGUCGAUGGGAAACAGGUUAAUAUUCCUGUACUUGGUGUUACUGCGAAGGGGGGACGGAGAAGGCUAUGUUGGCCGGGCGACGGUUGUCCCGGUUUAAGCGUGUAGGCUGGUUUUCCAGGCAAAUCCGGAAAAUCAAGGCUGAGGCGUGAUGACGAGGCACUACGGUGCUGAAGCAACAAAUGCCCUGCUUCCAGGAAAAGCCUCUAAGCAUCAGGUAACAUCAAAUCGUACCCCAAACCGACACAGGUGGUCAGGUAGAGAAUACCAAGGCGCUUGAGAGAACUCGGGUGAAGGAACUAGGCAAAAUGGUGCCGUAACUUCGGGAGAAGG
rnacentral:rRNA from 1 species